rnacentral:rRNA from 1 species
GAUGAACGCUGGCGGCGUGCCUAAUACAUGCAAGUCGAGCGAACGGACGAGAAGCUUGCUUCUCUGAUGUUAGCGGCGGACGGGUGAGUAACACGUGGAUAACCUACCUAUAAGACUGGGAUAACUUCGGGAAACCGUAGCUAAUACCGGAUAAUAUUUUUAACCGCAUGGUUCAAAAGUGAAAGACGGUCUUGCUUUCACUUAUAGAUUGAUCCGCGCUGCAUUAGCUAGUUGGUAAGGUAACGGCUUACCAAGGCAACGAUGCAUAGCCGACCUGAGAGGGUGAUCGGCAACACUGGAACUGAGACACGGUCCAGACUCCUACGGGAGGCAGCAGUAGGGAAUCUUCCGCAAUGGGCGAAAGCCUGACGGAGCAACGCCGCGUGAGUGAUGAAGGUCUUCGGAUCGUAAAACUCUGUUAUUAGGGAAGAACAUAUGUGUAAGUAACUGUGCACAUCUUGACGGUACCUAAUCAGAAAGCCACGGCUAACUACGUG